rnacentral:lncRNA from 1 species
UGUUAUACUCAUUUUAUGCGAUUUGGAGGUUACUACAGUAUUUGUGAUCAUUUGAGUAUCCGAAAUAGUUCAUUGAGCAACAAUUUGUAUUUCUUCAAAAUGUAAAUUGAUGAUUAUGUUCUUCUGUAUCUCUUGAGGAAUUAAACUCUCAUGAAAUAGGAUAUCGUCACACACAAGUUUUAAAUUUUUGUCCAUCUAUUAUUAUUAUCCAGGACAAAAAAGUUUCAAGACGAAAACGUCGCAAGGCAAAACAGUACACGGCAAAAACGUUUCAAAGCGUCACAAGACGCAAGCAUUACAAUGUGAAAACGUGCAAGGCAAAAAUGUUCAACACGAAUUCUCCUGACACAGUUUAACACCUUCUCUUCUUGCGAGUCCUUGGUCCUUCGAGGGGAGACACCAAAUAGAAUAUAACCUUUAAUUGCCUCUUCUUGAAAUUUUUCUAUGUACAUAUGAUCGAGUAUAACUAAUUCCUUUAUUGUUGAAAGAACUCGACAGUGAACAAAAGUGUUGAUAAUAUAAUUAUAUAUCCGUCCAUAGUCUUUGCAUGGACUUGAAAACUUUAACAGCUUUGUCAUUCUCGAAAACUGCUCUGUAAAUUUCCUGCCAACAAUUAUUUUCAAUGAGUGUACAAUUUUCCUUUUCUGAGAUGUAUCCAGCUGUUGAUCAGAUUUAAAAUCAGCACCAAGGAGUCAGUGGAAGAUGGUAAACAGCCUUUGCAAAGUCAAGAAAAAACUUCCUGUAUCAAAAAUGGAUUUAAAAAAAAGGUUUUUUUAUUCAUAUUUUGGCGACUGAUGUCGAUCGUAUUACUUGUAUUAAAACAAAGUGUAUUUUUCCACAUAAUUCUCUGAGUAGCUGUCCAUUCUUUCAAUAGAUAGAGAAUACAAGUGUUUGAAAGGUCAGUGGCAAAAUUAAACAAUUAAAAGCAAUAGUAUAUAUAAGCAAAUAUAGAUUCCAGUUCUUUAGGUCAGGGAUAAGUAAGUUCACAAACAAUUUUAGAAGCCAUUUAUCUUCCUCUAUUAAAAACUCCUCCCCCAUCGAAGGGAUAGCAGAAGCAAGAUAUAUAAUCUGAGUAAUCGAUUUGGUAUUAAAGAGAUCUAUUUUCUUUUGAAGGUUAAAUCUCCUCCAGUGGAGACACCACUAACGAGUCUUCGAGUUAGUUUUUAUCCAAUUGGAAUGAGUGAGUCCAUCUCCUUUUCAUUCUAUACCUAAGAUAUUGACUGCGUUAACCAUGGCAAAGCGACCAUUCUUCAAAUCCUACAAAGGAUGCCGGUAACCUAUAGGGAGGAUAUAAGUUUUCUCGAAAUUCAUCCUCAUUCGCGAACCCGUGGUGAACUUUUCGAGUGCAGAAAGAACAAUUUCGAAUCUCUUUUUUAAUUUUUUUUUUGAGUUUCCUUCUAUCAUAAAGUUACAAAAAGUUAAGGGGAGAAACCAGACACCUUUGUCUACAGCUUUUCCCCAACUUUAUGGGUUCUCUCUGGGUUCCAUGCAACAAGAAAGACGAAUUCCCAUUUUUUUCAAUGUUUUGACCAAAGGACUAUUGGCCUCUAUCAUCUCCAAUCUAUCCACUCCUUGCUCGAAUUUGGAGUUGCUGAAGGCAACCAUCGAGGUGGAAUGGGCUGUGUAUCCGGAGGACAAGAUAGCAGAUACUUGUGGCAGUUUCCGCCGCCGCUUCCAGGCUGUCGUCACGGCAAACGGAUCAUAUUUAAAAUAUAAAAAAUAGAGUAGUCAUGCGGUUCAACAAAUCUACCGAAAAAAAGAGAAAAAAACUUAUGGUCCAUUUUCUGUUUUGUCAUUUUACCCUUCAAAUUUUUAUCGUCCACCCUGUACAUACAUUAUUUUUAUUUACAAACUCCAAAUCUAUUUUGUAGUUUUGCAAUCAGACUAUUGGUUUCAGAGAGAUAUUUCCCCCCCCCCCCAUUUUUAGAAAAUACUGUGAUGAAUUGGAGCUAACUGUUAUUAUUUA